rnacentral:rRNA from 3 species
AAAUUGAAGAGUUUGAUCAUGGCUCAGAUUGAACGCUGGCGGCAGGCCUAACACAUGCAAGUCGAACGGUAACAGGAAGCAGCUUGCUGUUUCGCUGACGAGUGGCGGACGGGUGAGUAAUGUCUGGGAAACUGCCUGAUGGAGGGGGAUAACUACUGGAAACGGUGGCUAAUACCGCAUAACGUCGCAAGACCAAAGAGGGGGACCUUCGGGCCUC